rnacentral:rRNA from 1 species
GACGAACGCUGGCGGCGUGCUUAACACAUGCAAGUCGGACGAGAGCGUAGAGAAAGCUUGCUUUUUCUACAAUCUAGUGGCAAACGGGUGAGUAACGCGUAAACAACCUGCCCUACGGAUGGGGACAACAGCUGGAAACGGCUGCUAAUACCGAAUACGUUCCGAAAGUCGCAUGACUAUCGGAAGAAAGGAUGGCCUCUAUUUAUAAGCUAUCGCCGGAGGAGGGGUUUGCGUCUGAUUAGCUAGUUGGAGGGGUAACGGCCCACCAAGGCGACGAUCAGUAGCCGGUCUGAGAGGAUGAACGGCCACAUUGGAACUGAGACACGGUCCAGACUCCUACGGGAGGCAGCAGUGGGGAAUCUUCCGCAAUGGGCGAAAGCCUGGCGGAGCAACGCCGCGUGAGUGAAGACGGCCUUCGGGUUGUAAAGCUCUGUUAUACGGGACGAAUAAUCUUGUGGUUAAUACCCAUGAGAAGUGACGGUACCGUAAGAGAAAGCCACGGCUAACUACGUG